rnacentral:rRNA from 1 species
UAGCGUUGUUCGGAAUUACUGGGCGUAAAGCGCGUGUAGGCGGUUGUUCAAGUCAGGUGUGAAAGCCUUGAGCUCAACUCAAGAAAUGCACUUGAUACUGGAUGACUAGAGGACCGGAGAGGAUAGUGGAAUUCCCAGUGUAGUGGUGAAAUACGUAGAGAUUGGGAAGAACACCAGUGGCGAAGGCGGCUAUCUGGACGGUUUCUGACGCUAAGACGCGAAAGCGUGGGGAGCAAACAGG